GCUAUCACUGCUGUGCUUUCUGUUGUGUUACAAUAACUCAAUUUUUUUUUUUUUUUUAAUAUUCUUUAUUGUGAAGCGACUUAAAACAUAAUUCCUCUUUUGACUGAUUGCCUGUUUGCACAGUGUUAGUGCUGAUAAUUCCACAGCAAUACCAUUUUAGUUGAUUAUUCCUUUUGACUUAGGUUGUUCAAACUGACUGCUUGCUACAUUCAAAUACUACUCAAUGUAAAUUUUAACUGAAGUUAGACAUUAAGAUUCUGGGCUCUGACUCAACAGCUCAACACAAUCCUAUGAUUCUGGGCUCUUUGAAAACAAGCUCUGACUUAUAAACUAUGCUUUUCUACUGCAGCUGCUCUUAUAAAAUUUGUUUGUCAAAUUUAUACAGAUAAUGCUGGAAAUACAGAUGUGAUAACAAGCUUCUCCCUUUCCAUCACAUCUAUCAAGAGGCCACGACGCUGUAAGGCAUUGUUACCCCAACAGCGGAUGUGCAGUUCACCUACAGCCUCUGAGGUUACUGCAGAUACAUGACAGGGCUGGCAUCUUGUAAUCUGUAUUCGAAGAGUGAGGCAUAAGAAGUGAAGCAGACAGGUAAGUGUGAAAGAAUUGUCAUGCUUUCAAAGCCUGAAGAGUUGGAGAUUACUCUUUCUUCCCUCACUCAUGACAAAGUUCAAAACUUAUUGAAACUUAGAAAAAUAGUUCUACCUUGUAGUCUUCCAGAUUAUAUUUGCUUGACAAAAGUUCCAAAGAAUGUAGUUGUCACAUCAGCUCGUAGGCCAGAGAAGCUUCCUAGCAAUGAGAUGUGGAUUUGCUCAAAAUGCAUUUUCAGUUUCAUUGCACUUUAGAUUGAAGUUUUUUGUGUGUGAUUACCAAAACGAAGCAAGCUUCUCAAUAGAUCUGCCAUGGGUACAGCUCCUCAGCUCCAUCCGUGAAUGAUAAAAUGGUGCAAAAGAUGUUGCAUACUUCACAACUUCCAAAGCCUUGGAAUUCAACCCAGCAUCAUCCAGUCCUUCACCAGGGUUGUCUUCCAGUGAAGCUAUGCAAUGGCCCCAUUCCUCCAAGGUGUUACCAAGCAGCUCUCUAGGAAUAUUUUCAAAAUAAGAAGAGAAUGGUUCAGCAAAGAGGUGGAGACUCUGAGCUGAGAUCUGAGGUUGUUUGCAAGGAGCCCAAUUUAGACAAAGGCCAUAUGUCAAAGUGCAUCUUUGCAUUACUAUUGUCACACACACACAAAGAACUACAAAGACAGACGUUCUUGCGUGAUCUUGCGAUUCAAUUCCAUAUGAUGCUAAAGUAGAAAAAUUGUAUUUGUGAAAAUAGCAUCUUCAUAUCCUGCAAUUCUUUCCAGGCAGAGUAUUUUUGAGUCUAUGAGCAAUAUAUGUUAAAAAUAGUGGCUGCAUCAGGUAGCUAUAGUAAGUAACAUCUACAAAUAAGUGACAGAAGAGUACGUAAGCUGUCCCAAGUGAUAGUGCCUGAAUUUGCAUUUUACCGGACGAUGACUUCGCUCAUUGCCCGUGACACAUCAAAGCUGUCUAAACAAUGCAAGUAGCUUGUCUAGCUUUCCCAUGCUGUAUACCUUAUUCUGAGUUGCUUCCAGCUUCCAUGAGCCUCCAGUUUUCAGGUCAAAGCUUGCCAGGUUCAUUCUCUAUAAAGUUGACCUUAAACUCUGAAUGGGGGCUAUACGAAACACGUGAGAGAAAAAGGAGUUACUGUAGACUUAAAUACGGGUAAGGUUGUUGGUAUUUUAAAAAGCAUUGGCAGGGCUGCCAAUCACUGGAUCAAGUGCUAGACCAGGCUGCUCAGGGGUCCAUCCAACGAGGUCCCUGGGGCCACCAAGUCUUCUCCUCAUCUGCCCUCAUUUUAGCUUCCCUGCAGCAAGAAUUCAAGAGAAACUUGUGGAAUUGUCAUUCAUCAUUUUAUGUCAGGCUGAACAAUUUCUUCAUUGAGUUAAGUGCUACUUGUACGCUGGAACCUGAAUAAAUUGGCAACGCCAACUGCAUGAUUUGUGGAGAACAACGCAAUGGGAGAACAUCUGCUGUCCCAACAGUGACCUGGAAGGAAAUCUGACAAUGUUGUUACGCUGAGGCUUGGCCAUGCAGCUUCCAGUGACUGAAUAGCUGUUAUUGCCCCUUGUCCUGAAAGAUGGAAUUUGUGAAAACUGGGGGCUCCUGUAUUGGAGAUGAAUACUAGAAGAAGCUUUCAAGCCUCUACGGUGGAAACCUUCUGCAGCUUGGUCCUUUGUGACAGACAGUAUGAGAUCCAGGCAGGGCAAGAAAAGUAAACCAAAGCAACUUUAAUGAUUCUCUCAGAUUAGCACAUGCUAAAAAGAACUCUCAGCCAUUACGUGGAGGCUUACUGCACUUUGAGGUACUGCGUGCAGAAUUAGAUUUAUAUUUGCUUAAAUGAACUGGGAGUCCCAUGGAGGGAUCAUAGAAUCACAGAAUCACCAAGGUUGGAAAAGACCUCCGGGAGCAUCCAGUC